rnacentral:miRNA from 8 species
GGAAGCGCUUCCCUUUAGAGUGU